rnacentral:rRNA from 1 species
UACGGAGGAUGCAAGCGUUAUCCGGAAUGAUUGGGCGUAAAGCGUCCGCAGGUGGCAGUUCAAGUCUGCUGUCAAAGACCGGGGCUUAACUUCGGAAAGGCAGUGGAAACUGAAGCGCUAGAGUGUGGUAGGGGCAGAGGGAAUUCCCGGUGUAGCGGUGAAAUGCGUAGAGAUCGGGAAGAACAUCGGUGGCGAAGGCGCUCUACUGGACCACAACUGACACUCAGGGACGAAAGCUAGGGGAGCGAAUGGG